CGCGUAGGCGGUUUGCUAAGUUGAAUGUGAAAACUCUGGGCUUAACCCAGAGCCUGCAUUCAAUACUGGCAGGCUAGAGUUCUGGAGGGGAUAGCGGAAUUCCUGGUGUAGCGGUGAAAUGCGUAGAUAUCAGGAGGAACACCGGUGGCGAAGGCGGCUAUCUAGGACAGAGUCUGACGCUGAGGCGCAAAGCUAGGGAGCAAACA
rnacentral:rRNA from 1 species